UACGAAGGGGGCUAGCGUUGCUCGGAAUUACUGGGCGUAAAGAGCGCGCAGGCGGUCGUUCAAGUCGCGUGUGAAAGCCCCCGGCUCAACUGGGGAGGGUCACGCGAUACUGAUCGACUCGAAGGCAGGAGAGGGUAGUGGAAUUCCCGGUGUAGUGGUGAAAUUCGUAGAUAUCGAGAGGAACACCGGCGGCGAAGGCGGCCAUCUGGACGAGGACUGACGCUGAGAUGCGAAAGCGUGGGGAGCAAACAGG
rnacentral:rRNA from 1 species